rnacentral:rRNA from 1 species
ACCCCUACGGGGGGCAGCAGUCGAGAAUAAUUCACAAUGGACGAAAGUCUGAUGGUGCAACGCCGCGUGGAGGAUGACGGUCUUCGGAUUGUAAACUCCUGUCAUCGGGGAGUAAGACCUGGGUCUUAACAGGACACAGGGUUGAUAGUACCCGAAGAGGAAGGGACGGCUAACUUCGUGCCAGCAGCCGCGGUAA